rnacentral:rRNA from 1 species
ACCUGGUUGAUUCUGCCAGUAGUCAUAUGCUUGUCUCAAAGAUAAGCCAUCCAUUCUAAUU